rnacentral:piRNA from 1 species
UACAAUGUCUGUCUAAUGGAAUUUCAUUG